AGGCGGCAUGCCUACACAUGCAGUCGUACGGAGGGUGGGGCGACUCACUCUCAGUGGCAAACGGGUGAGUAACACGUGAAUAACCUGCCUUUGAGAAGGGGAUAACUGUCCGAAAGGAUAGCUAAUACCCUAUAUUGCCUUUUGUCACUAAGGCAAAAGGUGAAAGCGAGGCUGUCAAAGGCUUCGGCACAAAGAGGGGUUCGCGUCCUAUCAGGUAGUUGGUGGGGUAAUGGCCUACCAAGCCAAUGACGGGUAGCUGGUCUUAGAGGAUAAUCAGCCACAGUGGGACUGAGACACGGCCCGCACCCCUACGGGGGGCAGCAGUGGGGAAUCGUGGGCAAUGGGCGCAAGCCUGACCCCGCAAUGCCGCGUGAGGGAAGAAGCCCUUCGGGGUGUAAACCUCUGUCAGAUGGGAAGAUGGGACUAGGGGCUAAUACCUCCUAGUCUUGACGGUACCAUCAGAGGAAGGGACGGCUAACUACGUGCCAGCAGCCGCGGUAAU
rnacentral:rRNA from 1 species